rnacentral:lncRNA from 1 species
UGGCCUUAGUCACGUCUGUAGAAAUUUGGAUGUUUGAGUUCCAGAUUGACUUCAGUGAUAAUUCCCUCUUUUCCUUUUCUGCUGAUGCUUAUCAUGGCUUCAUACUGGUGAGUUUUCCUGGAUUUAGAUUUCAUCCAGAUAUUGGAUGUCUUUAAGGAAAAAACGGAAUACUGUACUGUACUGUGGAUAGUCUAAGGGAAUUCUUAUUCAGGCACGAGUUAUACAAGGUAGCCUCUAAUAUUAUUUCAGAUGCAGAGAUUCCCUGAUUGUGCUGUCUUGAAAUCUGCUUUAGUGGGAUUGCACACUUCCUUGAACACAGAGACACAGCUUUGUGGACUGUGAACACCCCAGAACAGAAACCAAAUCUGCACUCUCAAAUUGACUGCAGGGAAGACUGCAUCUUAGUGAAGAAUCACUGGUGUACUGCAGAUCCUCUCCCCUGUUCUAUUCCCCACCCCACAACCCCCAACCUCCCGCCAGCUCCAUCACAGAUGCCCUCCCACAUACAUAAAAUAAGGUGUUUUAUGAAGCUCAGUACGUUACAGAACCUAAAAUCUAGCAGAGUGUAAUGGAUAUGUGCAAAGCCAACUUCAUUCAUUUACAUAACAUCAUGGAGACAAGUGAGAAGGCUCAAGAUCUAUGCCUGCUCAGUGUGGUCAUAUGUCGUCUCCCUUCGUUAUAGAGAAGAGAAUCAGCAAGCAAGAAGGGCUUCAUAUAAAUCUAAUGCCAAUGCCAACUUGAUGCUAGAAAAGAUUUU